AUGCAGUGUCUCUAUGUCCCUGUUUAUGUCCCACUUCUCACUGCACGAACCCCCACGGCCCUGUUCUGGUCCCAGUACUGGCAUGUUCCUUAUCUGUGUCCUGGUCCUGCCCCAUGUCACAGUCGCAAUCCCACCAUGUCUUUGCCCUGUUCCCAGCCCCUUCUUAUCCCUAUCCAGGUCCCAGUAUCCCCCUUUUGUCCUUUGUCCUUUGGUCCCUGUCUUAAUUCCAGUCACCCAUAUCCUUGUCCUGAUCCUGGUACCCUUAUGGCCUGGUCCAGGUGCCCCUGUUAUUAUCCCCGUCUCCUGUGUCCCUGUCCUGAUGCUCCCACAUCCCUGUCACCUGUGUCCCUGUCCCAAUACUACAUGUUCCUAUCCCUUUGCCCUGACUUUAUGUUCCCUCUGUGUCCCUGUCCCACUGUUCCUGCCCCAGUCCCCGCAUGCACCUGUCCUGGUCCCAGCGAUCUGUUUCAGUCUCAGUUCUCUUGCAUCCCACUCCCAGUGCCCCAUGUCUGUGUCCUGGACCCCUACAUCCUGGUCACAGUAUCCUCACAUCACUAUUCUGGUCUCCUGUAUCCUGAUCCCCUCACAUCCUGGUCCUGGUCUCCUGUGUCCCCAUUCCUCCCACCCUCUCCCAAUCCCGGUGGCCCUGUGUCUGUGUUUUGGUUUCCCAUGUCCAUGUCCUGGUCCUGCACAUCCUGGUCCUGGCGCUUGUCUCUCUUCACCCUUUUCCUCCAUGUAUCUGUCCUGGUCCCAGUGUCCCCAUGUACCUGUCGCUUAUCUCCACUUCCUAUACCCAUUUCUCCAUGUCCCAUUCCACCUCAUCCGUGGCCCCUUUUUGGUCCCCCAAGUCCCAUCCCGGUCCUCCAGCAAGUCCCUGCCCCUGUCUCCCAUGUCCGUAUCCUGCUUCUUCACGUCCCUGUCCCACCAUACACCUGUCCCAGUCCCAGCGCCCGUGUCUGUGCGCCGGUCCCCCAGCACUCCCGUGACCCUGCCCCGUUCUCCCGUGUCCUAGUCCCGGUCCCGCUCCCAUGCCCGUGUCCCGGUUCUCCCCCAGGCUCACCGUGCUGUGCCGAGCCCUGGACGCUGCGCAUUGCAGGAUCGGCUCCGGCGGCGCCGCGGGGACCCCAGGCGGGGACGGGGGCGGGCCCUGGGUCGGGCUCGGCCGCGCCGUUCCCGCUGCUCCCGUUAUUCCCGGUGCUCCCGUUCCUGGCGGCGGCCCUGCCGGCCGGGCCCUGCCGCUCCAGCCGGUGCCGGCUGAUCUUGUCCCCGGCGCGGCGGCGGAGCCCCCGCCAGCGGUUCUUCACCUCGCCGAUGUCGCGCUGGUGGCGGCCGGCGGCGUUCACUUUGUGCGUGAUCCGCCACCAGAUCUUCUGCUUCUCGUACGCGUUGACGGUACCGGCGGCGGCGCCGAACAGCAGCGGCUCGUACCGGAGCACUUCGCUCAUCAGCACCUCAAGCUCCUGCAGCGUGAAGUUCGGCUUCCGCUUCAGCAGCCCCCGC
rnacentral:lncRNA from 1 species